rnacentral:rRNA from 1 species
GUGGAUGCCUUGGCAGUCAGAGGCGAUGAAAGACGUGGUAGCCUGCGAUAAGCUUUGGGGAGUCGGCAAACAGACUGUGAUCCAGAGAUCUCUGAAUGGGGGAACCCAGCCAGCANAAGCUGGUUAUCUUGUACUGAAUACAUAGGUGCAAGAGGCGAACCAGGGGAACUGAAACAUCUAAGUACCCUGAGGAAAAGAAAUCAACCGAGAUUCCCUUAGUAGUGGCGAGCGAACGGGGACCAGCCCUUAAGUUGNUUUGAGAUUAGUGGAACGCUCUGGAAAGUGCGGCCAUAGUGGGUGAUAGCCCCGUACACGAAAAUCUCUUAUCAAUGAAAUCGAGUAGGACGGAGCACGAGNAACUUUGUCUGAAUAUGGGGGGACCAUCCUCCAAGGCUAAAUACUACUGACUGANCGAUAGUGAACCAGUACCGNGAGGGAAAGGCGAAAAGAACCCCGGAGAGGGGAGNGAAAUAGAACCUGAAACCGUAUGCGUACAAGCAGUGGGAGCCUACUUUGUUAGGUGACUGCGUACCUUUUGUAUAAUGGGUCAGCGACUUAUAUUCAGUGGCGAGCUUAACCGAAUAGGGGAGGCGUAGCGAAAGCGAGUCUUAAUAGGGCGUUUAGUCGCUGGGUAUAGACCCGAAACCGGGCGAUCUAUCCAUGGGCAGGUUGAAGGUUAGGUAACACUGACUGGAGGACCGAACCGACUACCGUUGAAAAGUUAGCGGAUGACCUGUGGAUCGGAGUGAAAGGCUAAUCAAGCUCGGAGAUAGCUGGUUCUCCUCGAAAGCUAUUUAGGUAGCGCCUCAUGUAUCACUGUAGGGGGUAGAGCACUGUUUCGGCUAGGGGGUCAUCCCGACUUACCAAACCGAUGCAAACUCCGAAUACCUACAAGUGCCGAGCAUGGGAGACACACGGCGGGUGCUAACGUCCGUCGUGAAAAGGGAAACAACCCAGACCGUCAGCUAAGGUCCCAAAGUCAUGGUUAAGUGGGAAACGAUGUGGGAAGGCUUAGACAGCUAGGAGGUUGGCUUAGAAGCAGCCACCCUUUAAAGAAAGCGUAAUAGCUCACUAGUCGAGUCGGCCUGCGCGGAAGAUGUAACGGGGCUCAAACCAUGCACCGAAGCUACGGGUAUCAUCNUAUGAUGAUGCGGUAGAGGAGCGUUCUGUAAGCCUGUGAAGGUGAGUUGAGAAGCUUGCUGGAGGUAUCAGAAGUGCGAAUGCUGACAUGAGUAACGACAAUGNGAGUGAAAAACUCGCACGCCGAAAGACCAAGGUUUCCUGCGCAACGUUAAUCGACGCAGGGUUAGUCGGUCCCUAAGGCGAGGCUGAAAAGCGUAGUCGAUGGAAAACAGGUUAAUAUUCCUGUACUUCCAGUUAUUGCGAUGGAGGGACGGAGAAGGUUAGGCCAGCCUGGCGUUGGUUGUCCNGGUUUAAGGUGGUAGGCUGAAAUCUUAGGCAAAUCCGGGAUUUCAAGGCCGAGAGCUGAUGACGAGUUGCCUUUAGGCGACGAAGUGGUUGAUACCAUGCUUCCAAGAAAAGCUCCUAAGCUUCAGNUAACUGGGAACCNUACCCNAAACCGACACAGGUGGUUAGGUAGAGAAUACCAAGGCGCUUGAGAGAACUCGGGUGAAGGAACUAGGCAAAAUGGCACCGUAACUUCGGGAGAAGGUGCGCCGGCGAGGGUNAAGGACUUGCUCCGUAAGCCCAUGCCGGUCGAAGAUACCAGGCCGCUGCGACUGUUUAUUAAAAACACAGCACUCUGCAAACACGAAAGUGGACGUAUAGGGUGUGACGCCUGCCCGGUGCCGGAAGGUUAAUUGAUGGGGUUAGCGCAAGCGAAGCUCUUGAUCGAAGCCCCGGUAAACGGCGGCCGUAACUAUAACGGUCCUAAGGUAGCGAAAUUCCUUGUCGGGUAAGUUCCGACCUGCACGAAUGGCGUAACGAUGGCGGCGCUNUCUCCACCCGAGACUCAGUGAAAUUGAAAUCGCUGUGAAGAUGCAGUGUAUCCGCGGCUAGACGGAAAGACCCCGUGAACCUUUACUAUAGCUUUGCACUGGACUUUGAAUUUGCUUGUGUAGGAUAGGNNGNAGGCUUUGAAGUGGGGACGCCAGUNCUCAUGGAGCCAUCCUUGAAAUACCACCCUGGCAACUUUGAGGUUCUAACUCAGGUCCGUUAUCCGGAUCGAGGACAGUGUAUGGUGGGUAGUUUGACUGGGGCGGUCUCCUCCCAAAGAGUAACGGAGGAGUACGAAGGUGCGCUCAGACCGGUCGGAAAUCGGUCGUAGAGUAUAAAGGCAAAAGCGNGCUUGACUGCGAGACAAACACGUCGAGCAGGUACGAAAGUAGGUCUUANUGAUCCGGUGGUUCUGUAUGGAAGGGCCAUCGCUCAACGGAUAAAAGGUACUCCGGGGAUAACAGGCUGAUACCGCCCAAGAGUUCAUAUCGACGGCGGUGUUUGGCACCUCGAUGUCGGCUCAUCACAUCCUGGGGCUGAAGCCGGUCCCAAGGGUAUGGCUGUUCGCCAUUUAAAGUGGUACGCGAGCUGGGUUUAGAACGUCGUGAGACAGUUCGGUCCCUAUCUGCCGUGNACGUUUGNGAUUUGAGAGGGGCUGCUCCNAGUACGAGAGGACCGGAGUGGACGAACCUCUGGUGUUCCGGUUGUCACGCCAGUGGCAUUGCCGGGUAGCUAUGUUCGGAAGAGAUAACCGCUGAAAGCAUCUAAGCGGGAAACUUGCCUNAAGAUGAGAUCUCACUNGGAUCUUGAAUCNCCUAAAGGGCCGUCGAAGACUACGACGUUGAUAGGUUGGGUGUGUAAGCGCUGUGAGGCGUUGAGCUAACCAAUACUAAUUGCCCGUGAGGCUUGACC